GGGGAAUUUUCCGCAAUGGGCGAAAGCCUGACGGAGCAAUACCGCGUGAGGGAUGACGGCCUAUGGGUUGUAAACCUCUUUUUUCAGGGAGGAAUCAAUGACGUGUACCUGAAGAAUAAGCAUCGGCUAACUCCGUGCCAGCAGCCGCGGUAAGACGGAGGAUGCAAGUGUUAUCCGGAAUCACUGGGCGUAAAGCGUCUGUAGGUGGUUGAAUAAGUCAACUGUUAAAUCUUGAGGCUCAACCUCAAAAUCGCAGUCGAAACUGUUUGACUAGAGUAUAGUAGGGGUAAAGGGAAUUUCCAGUGGAGCGGUGAAAUGCGUAGAGAUUGGAAAGAACACCGAUGGCGAAGGCACUUUACUGGGCUAUUACUGACACUCAGAGACGAAAGCUAGGGUAGCAAAUGGGAUUAGAUACCCCAGUAGUC
rnacentral:rRNA from 1 species